AGUAGAAUGACUGAGGUGUAGGUGAAAGAUUGUAAAUUUUUUAAGGAGUUGAAACUCUUCUACUA
rnacentral:tRNA from 1 species